rnacentral:rRNA from 1 species
UACGAAGGGGGCUAGCGUUGUUCGGAAUUACUGGGCGUAAAGCGUGCGCAGGCGGCUUCUCAAGUCAGGGGUGAAAGCCCAGAGCUCAACUCUGGAAUUGCCUUUGAGACUGAGUGGCUUGAGUACGAGAGAGGUGAGUGGAAUUCCCAGUGUAGAGGUGAAAUUCGUAGAUAUUGGGAAGAACACCGGUAGCGAAGGCGGCUCACUGGCUCGUAACUGACGCUCAUGCACGACAGCGUGGGGAUCAAACAGG